rnacentral:misc_RNA from 1 species
GUAUUUAAGAAGCGUUUCAUUACAAAACGUUCCAAGACACAUACAAAAAACUAGUAAAAAAAGUAUUUUAUGAGCCGUUCCAGCAAAACCGCAACGACCCAUAGGCAGACAUUUUCCCCUCCCCAGGAAGAGCCGUCGACGGGCGACAGCACUUCCCAACGGGAAUAGAAAAAUCCUGAAGUGCACAAAGGUGUGAAAGAAUUGUGAGACGUCCCGGCGUGCAAGUUAAUGCACAGCCAGAUCGCCGUAAAAUUCUCGAUAAUGAUCCUUCCGCAGGUUCACCUACGGAAA